AAUUGGAGGGCAAGUCUGGUGCCAGCAGCCGCGGUAAUUCCAGCUCCAAUAGCGUAUAUUAAAGUUGUUGCAGUUAAAAAGCUCGUAGUUGAAUUUCGGGAUUGACGUGAUGGUCGUGCCUUAAGGGGUAUGAACUGUCGCAGUUGAUUUCUCACCUUCUGGAGAAGCAUGAUGUCCUUAAUUGGGUGUCAUGUGGAACCAGGACCUUUACCUUGAAAAAAUUAGAGUGUUUAAAGCAGGCAUUUUGCUCGAAUACAUUAGCAUGGAAUAAUAGAAUAGGACGGCAUGAUUCUAUUUUGUUGGUUUCUAGGAUCACCGUAAUGAUUAAUAGGGAUAGUUGGGGGCAUUAGUAUUCAAUUGUCAGAGGUGAAAUUCUUGGAUUUAUUGAAGACUAACUACUGCGAAAGCAUUUGCCAAGGAUGUUUUCAUUAAUCAAGAACGAAAGUUAGGGGAUCGAAGACGAUCAGAUACCGUCGUAGUCUUAACCAUAAACUAUGCCGACUAGGAAUCAGACGAUGUUAAUUUUUUAAUGACUCGUUUGGCACCUUACGGGAAACCAAAGUGU
rnacentral:rRNA from 1 species